GCCGGAAUAGCUCAGUUGGUAGAGCACGUCAUUCGUAAUGAUGGGGUCGUAGGUUCGAAUCCUAUUUCCGGCACCA
rnacentral:tRNA from 1 species